rnacentral:rRNA from 1 species
UACGUAGGGGGCUAGCGUUGUCCGGAAUCAUUGGGCGUAAAGCGCGUGUAGGCGGUUCGGUAAGUCCGCUGUGAAAGUCGGGGGCUCAACCCUCGGAUGCCGGUGGAUACUGUCGGACUAGAGUACGGAAGAGGCGAGUGGAAUUCCUGGUGUAGCGGUGAAAUGCGCAGAUAUCAGGAGGAACACCGAUUGCGAAGGCAGCUCGCUGGGACGUUACUGACGCUGAGACGCGAAAGCGUGGGGAGCAGACAGG